rnacentral:rRNA from 1 species
UGCGGAGGGAUCAUUACACAAAUAUGAAGGCGGGCUGGAAUCUCUCGGGGUUACAGCCUUGCUGAAUUAUUCACCCUUGUCUUUUGCGUACUUCUUGUUUCCUUGGUGGGUUCGCCCACCACUAGGACAAACAUAAACCUUUUGUAAUUGCAAUCAGCGUCAGUAACAAAUUAAUAAUUACAACUUUCAACAACGGAUCUCUUGGUUCUGGCAUCGAUGAAGAACGCAGCGAAAUGCGAUAAGUAGUGUGAAUUGCAGAAUUCAGUGAAUCAUCGAAUCUUUGAACGCACAUUGCGCCCUUUGGUAUUCCAAAGGGCAUGCCUGUUCGAGCGUCAUUUGUACCCUCAAGCUUUGCUUGGUGUUGGGCGUCUUGUCUCUAGCUUUGCUGGAGACUCGCCUUAAAGUAAUUGGCAGCCGGCCUACUGGUUUCGGAGCGCAGCACAAGUCGCACUCUCUAUCAGCAAAGGUCUAGCAUCCAUUAAGCCUUUUUUCAACUUUUGACCUCGGAUCAGGUAGGGAUACCCGCUGAACUUAAGCAUAUCAAUA